UAACACAUGGGCCUUUGCAGGAUACUUCAAA
rnacentral:piRNA from 1 species